rnacentral:lncRNA from 1 species
AGAUGAAGAGCUUGUUUGGCCUAGUUUCUGAAAAAGUGAUUUUUAAAAAAGUAAUUUUGAUUUGGAAAAUUGAUUUUGGUUAAAAGCUGUAGAGCGUUUGGCGGAGUUUAGAUAAAAGUGACUUUUCUGAAAUAAUUUUGAAAAGUUGUUUGAUAAAUUUGUUUGAUGUUUACAUAAAUUAAUAUUUUCAUUAAAUUUUAUUUUAAAAUAAUUUAAAAUCUAAAUUUAAAUUUAAAUUAAAUUAAAAUUUUUAAAUUUCAAAAUUGUACAAAAUUUAAAAUUUGAUAUUUUGAUUUAAAAAAUAAUUUAAAAUUUUAAAAAUUUAAACUAUAAAAUAAGUAUGAAAUUUAAAAUUUAAAAAUAUAAAUAGAAAUUUACAAAUAUAUAUAAUUAUGAAUUUUAAAAUAUAAAAUUUUUAAUAUAUAAAAAUUAAAAUUAAAAUUAAAAUUUCAAACUUUAAAUUUAGAAUUUAAAAUUUAAAAUUUAAAUGUAAAAAUAUAAAUAAUUAUGAAAUUUAAAAUAUAAAAUAUUAAUAUUUAAAAAUAUAUUUAAAUUUUAAAUUUCA